rnacentral:tRNA from 1 species
GCAGUGGUGGUUCAGGGGUAGAAUUCCAACCUUCUAUGCAGGUGACCUGGGUUUGAUUCCCGGCCAAUGCA